ensembl:snRNA U6 U6 spliceosomal RNA
GGGCUUGCUUCACAACACGUAUACUAAAUUGAAACAAUACAGAGAUUAGCAAGGCCUCUGCACAAGGAUGACACGCAAAUUUGUGAAGCAUUCCAUAUUUAA